AAGUCGUAACAAGGUCUCCGUAGGUGAACCUGCGGAGGGAUCAUUACCGAGUUAGGGUCCUUGUGGCCCGACCUCCAACCCUAUGUCUACCUUACCUUUUGUUGCUUCGGCGGGCCCGUCCCCCUUGGAAAAGGGGUGACCGCCGUGGGGUUAUGCCCUUUCGGUCCGCGCCCGUCGGUGGCCACCUAAAACUCUUGUUAAAUCGUGUCGUCUGAAGUGAAAAAUUAAUAACUAAAAAACUUUCAACAACGGAUCUCUUGGUUCUG
rnacentral:misc_RNA from 1 species